AUCCUAAAAUGCUAAAAAUUAUCUGCAGUGUUGAGUAUAUACAGUCUAAGAUACUCCUAUAAUAUAACUGAAUCAGUCAUACUUUCAGACCAUCGCACAGUUUCAGAUAUAUAUAAUGUUUGAGAUAAAGUUCGCUAUAUAUACGCGAUAAAUAUACUGACUACUAUAUAUUCAUCAAGCAAUUUGAUCUACAUGCUAUUGAUGGGUUUUCGCUAAGCACUUCUAUAAAGCCGAUGGUGCAUGAUCAAGUUUUUCAUUAUUUGUGAAAGCAUGUAUUUCGCGGGCAAUAAAGAAAACGUAGUUGCAUUUGCUUGCUUCUAUAUGCCAACUCAUUUGAUGUUGACUACCCCCGUAGUGCUUAUUGAAAUUGCCCACCUAUACCACGGCAGAACUGCAUACAUGGUUAAAAUACUAUAAUAGCCCACCAUGAUGCACAGACCUAGCUGUCAACUGAGAAACGUCAUUUUAGUGUCGAUUUCAUUCUUUGAAAUCCUCUUAUUUGUACAUCCCAGUGCUAAUCAACAACUAUACAGAGUUCGUUUCGUUACAGUCAAAAAUAUACAAGAACCUUCCUACUUCCGUUGACAUUUUCUGUAAUUUUUCUGAUUACUGUAACGGUUACCGAUUUAUAGACAAAUACCACCGAUAAAAUUCAAAUUUCCCAGCUUUCAUGUGUUAAAAUUAUGCAUUGAAUAUAACGCAAAAUUCGUCCUUCGCUACAAAUUAUUAUAUAAAAACGAAGAAAAUAAAAUUUUGUCGCCAUAUUUUGAUAUUUGCUAAUAAUUUGGUAAUCGUACAGAAAAACAGACCAAUUUACAGAAAAUUAAAACAGACUACAGAAGCGGAAAGGUUCUUGUAUUUUGAGUGUAAGAGAAGUAGUCAAGAAUUAUACUGUAAAACAUCUCGACAUUUAUCAACCUAGCAUAAAAAAACUCCACGUGCAUGGCAACCGAUAUAAAGAUACACGCGACGGUCCUGUUUAGGGUUGCAAGAGUGCCGCCUGCAAUAAGACCAAAUUGAAAUAUUUCCCAUUUCUGUACGUGUUGAUCUAUGGGAAUAUAUAUAUAUAUAUAUAUAUAUAUAUA